GACGAACGCUGGCGGCGUGCUUAACACAUGCAAGUCGAACGGAAAGGCCUGCUUUCCCUUGUGGAUUGCGGGUACUCGAGUGGCGAACGGGUGAGUAACACGUGAGUGAUCUGCCCCCAACUUGGGUAUAAGCCUGGGAAACUGGGUCUAAUUCCCGAUAGUACUGCAGGGUGGUGCCUGUGGUGGAAAACGAUUUUCUAGUGGUUGGGGAUGAGCUCGCGGCCUAUCAGCUUGUUGGUGGGGUAAUGGCCUACCAAGGCGGCGACGGGUAGCCGGCCUGGGAGGGUGGACGGCCACAUUGGGACUGAGAUACGGCCCAGACUCCUACGGGAGGCAGCAGUGGGGAAUAUUGCACAAUGGGCGGAAGCCUGAUGCAGCGACGCCGCGUGGGGGAUGACGGCCUUCGGGUUGUAAACUCCUUUCGACCGCGAGGAAGCCACCUGGUUGGAAGGGUGGUGACGGUAGUGGUAGAAGAAGCACCGGCUAACUACGUG
rnacentral:rRNA from 1 species